AUACGUAGGGUGCAAGCGUUAAUCGGAAUUACUGGGCGUAAAGCGUGCGCAGGCGGUUUUGUAAGACAGUGGUGAAAUCCCCGGGCUCAACCUGGGAACUGCCAUUGUGCCUGCAAGGCUGGGGUGCGGCAGAGGGGGAUGGAAUUCCGCGUGUGGCAGUGAAAUGCGGAGAUAUGGGGCGGAACACCGAUGGCGAAGGCAAUCCCCUGGGCCUGCACUGACGCUCAUGCACGAAAGCGUGGGGAGCAAACAGGAUUAGAUACCCUGGUAGUCCACGCCCUAAACGAUGUCAACUGGUUGUUGGGGAUUUAUUUUCUCAGUAACGAAGCUAACGCGUGAAGUUGACCGCCUGGGGAGUACGGCCGCAAGGUUAAAACUCAAAGGAAUUGACGGGG
rnacentral:rRNA from 1 species